UGUUGGCCAGGCCUCUCUAUAGCUCAUGAAGUCAACUGCUGGUUUUCAUUUUGAUCAUAUACUCCAGUCCAAAACUGCAAUUAGCUAAUGUUGUGGCUCUUAGCUUCAUCCAUCUUCCGGCUCCCAUUUGGUUUCUGCCUAUAGUUCAACUCUUACACAGGUUAAACAAGGGAAUGAUGGAAAGGAACAAAAAAAGCUGACCUUUCCAAUAUAACUGGAAACAGAACAAGGAGAAGUGCUAUCAGCCAGAGCAGAGAAGGAAGAGGCAACCCCCUCCCAGAAACCCCAGUUUCUCUCCUGUGCAGCCCAGAAGCCACAUCAGGGAGAUAUGAGAAGACAUGGGUGUAUAGUCAAGAGAAAGAAGAGCAUCCCUUGAAGGAGGAAAGAAGGAGGAGGGCUAGCCCAACACAUCUCACUGUCUGUGUUGAAAGACAAGAUGGCAUCUCCCACCCCCAACCCCAUUUCAUGAACAGAAGCUGACCCAAAUGGCAACUGAAUGUUACUUCAACACUGGUGACAGGGCAGCAUCCUCCACCAUACCUGAGGGCAGCAGGCUAACUUGAUGAAGGCUUAGGAAUCUACAUGGCAAUGGACACAUACAGCUCUGACUACCCACUCUUCAACAUCUGCUAUCUUGGUCACUCUGCCUAAUGGCAGGGCUGACCCUGACACCAAG